rnacentral:rRNA from 1 species
UACGUAGGGAGCAAGCGUUGUCCGGAAUCACUGGGCGUAAAGGGCGCGUAGGCGGCCUGAUAAGUAGGGGGUGAAAUCUUGCGGCUCAACCGCAAGGCUGCCUUCUAAACUGUCAGGCUGGAGCACGGUAGAGGCAGAUGGAAUUCCGGGUGUAGCGGUGGAAUGCGUAGAGAUCCGGAGGAAGACCGGUGGCGAAGGCGGUCUGCUGGGCAGUUUCUGACGCUGGAGGAGCGAAAGCGUGGGGAGCGAACAGG